rnacentral:rRNA from 1 species
GACGAACGCUGGCGGCGCGCCUAACACAUGCAAGUCGAACGGAGCUGCGAGAAGCUUGCUUUUCUUAGCUUAGUGGCGAACGGGUGAGUAACGCGUGAGUAACCUGCCCUGGAGUGGGGGACAACAGUUGGAAACGACUGCUAAUACCGCAUAAGCCCACGAUCCGGCAUCGGAUUGAGGGAAAAGGAUUUAUUCGCUUCAGGAUGGACUCGCGUCCAAUUAGCUAGUUGGUGAGGUAACGGCCCACCAAGGCGACGAUUGGUAGCCGGACUGAGAGGUUGACAGGCUAGAUUUGGGCUGAGACACAGACCAGACUGCUACGGGAGGCAGCAGUGGGGGAUAUUGCACGAUGGGGGAAACCCUGAUGCAGCGACGCGGCGUGGAGGAAGAAGGUUUUCGGAUUGUAAACUCCUGUCGUAAGGGACGAUAAUGACGGUACCUAACAAGAAAGCACCGGCUAACUACGUG